rnacentral:rRNA from 1 species
GAUGAACGCUAGCGGCAGGCCUAAUACAUGCAAGUCGAACGGUCCGCUUCGGCGGAUAGUGGCGCACGGGUGCGUAACACGUAUGCAACCUACCUUACAUUGGGGGAUAGCCUUUCGAAAGGGAGAUUAAUACCGCAUAAGACAGUAGCUGGGCAUCCAGUAGCUGUUAAAGAUUUAUCGAUGUAAGCUGGGCAUGCGUCCAAUUAGUGAGUUGGUGAGGUAACGGCUCACCAAGACGAUGAUUGGUAGGGGAACUGAGAGGUCAAUCCCCCACACUGGCAGUGAGAUACGGGCCAGACUGCUACGGGAGGCAGCAGUAGGGAAUAUUGGGCAAUGGACGCAAGUCUGACCCAGCCAUGCCGCGUGCAGGAAGAAGGCGUUCUGCGUUGUAAACUGCUUUUAUAUAGGAAGAAACGACCCUUGCGAGGGGCAUUGACGGUAUUAUAUGAAUAAGCACCGGCUAACUCCGUGCCAGCAGCCGCCGCAGUAA